AUUGAACGCUGGCGGCAGGCCUAACACAUGCAAGUCGAACGAGUGGCGGACGGGUGUGUAAUGUCUGGGAACCUGCUUGAUGGAGGGGGAUAACUACUGGAACCGGUAGCUAAUACCGCAUACCAGCAGCUGUUCCCUGAUGGGAUUAGCUAUUAGGUGGGGUAACGGCUCACCAAGGCGACGAUCCCUAGCUGGUCUGAGAGGAUGACCAGCCACACUGGAACUGAGACACGGUCCAGACUCCUACGGGAGGCAGCAGUGGGGAAUAUUGCACAAUGGGCGCAAGCCUGAUGCAGCCAUGCCGCGUGUGUGAAGAAGGCCUUCGGGUUGUAAAGUACUUUCAGCGGGGAGGCGUUACCCGCAGAAGAAGCACCGGCUAACUCCGUGCCAGCAGCCGCGGUAAUUC
rnacentral:rRNA from 1 species